rnacentral:rRNA from 1 species
UACGUAGGGUGCAAGCGUUGUCCGGAAUUAUUGGGCGUAAAGAGCUCGUAGGCGGUCUGUUGCGUCGCUGUGAAAACCCGAGGCUCAACCUCGGGCCUGCAGCCGAUACGGGCAGACUAGAGUUCGGCAGGGGAGACUGGAAUUCCUGGUGUAGCGGUGGAAUGCGCAGAUAUCAGGAGGAACACCGAGUGGCGAAGGCAGAUCUCUGGGC